rnacentral:rRNA from 1 species
UACGGAGGGAGCAAGCGUUACUCGGAAUUACUGGGCGUAAAGGGCGCGUAGGCGUUCUGACAAGUCGUAUGUGAAAGCCCGGGGCCUAACCCCGGAAGCGCAUACGAUACUGUUUGAAUUGAGUUCCGGCGAGGAAGAUAGAAUUCCCGGUGUAGCGGUGAAAUGCGUAGAUAUCGGGAGGAAUACCAGAGGCGAAGGCGAUCUUCUGGACGGAUACUGACGCUGAGGCGCGAAAGCCAGGGGAGCAAACAGG